rnacentral:lncRNA from 13 species
GGAUGACUGUCUCCAGAAAGGGAAGUGGGUGGGGUGCUUUAAGAGUCUCGCGCAAAAACAGCCCUCAUAUCAUAUAGUCGUCCCCAGGCAGCAAAGCACACAUGCUUUUGGGACGAGCGAACCUCACAGCGCACGAAGUUGGACCAAACCGGACUCCUGUAAAGGAUAAAGACUUGUCACCUCUCAAGAACUCAGGGGGAGCUGUGACAAUGGGGAGCGUUAGUGGGAUCGUGAGGUCUUGGAUGUUUCUUCUAUCUUGGAGAAAGCAGUGUUCACUAUCAGGCAAACUUUUUUCCGACUCAUCAUUCAACCCUGUUAAUUCAGUCUCUGCUGACCACGUCUGUCCGAGUCGUGUAACAGAUUUUCAGGCUCGUCUGGGAUUGGCGCCACCUGCUGGAGGUAUCUGA